GCGGAGUGGUCUAACGCGAUAGACUAGAAAUCUAUUACCUUCGGGUGCGCAGGUUCGAAUCCUGC